AUUGAACGCUGGCGGCAGGCCUAACACCUGCAAGUCGAACGAGUGGCGGACGGGUGAGUAAUGUCUGGGAAAAUGCCUGAUGGAGGGGGAUAACUACUGGAAACGGUAGCUAAUACCGCAUACAAUCGGAUGAGCCCAGAGGGGAUUAGCUAGUAGGUGGGGUAUCGGGUAACCUAGGCGACGAUCCCUAGCUGGUCGGAGAGGAUGACGAGCCACACUGGAACGGAGACACGGUCCAGACUCCUACGUGAGGCAGCAGGGGGGAAUAUUGCACAAUGGGCGCAAGCCGGAUGCAGCCAGGCCGCGUGUAUGAAGAAGGCCUUCGGGUUGUAAAGUACUUUCAGCGGGGAGGCGUUACCCGCAGAAGAAGCACCGGCUAACUCCGUGCCAGCAGCCGCGGUAAUAC
rnacentral:rRNA from 1 species